UAAGGAAUAUUGGUCAAUGGACGCAAGUCUGAACCAGCCAUGCCGCGUGAAGGAUGAAGGUCCUCUGGAUUGUAAACUUCUUUUAUCUGGGACGAAAACGGGAUUUUUAUCUCAACUGACGGUACCAGAGGAAUAAGCACCGGCUAACUCCGUGCCAGCAGCCGCGGUAAUACGGAGGGUGCGAGCGUUAUCCGGAUUUACUGGGUUUAAAGGGUGCGUAGGUGGGCUUAUAAGUCAGUGGUGAAAUCUCCGAGCUUAACUUGGAAACUGCCGUUGAUACUAUAGGUCUUGAAUUAUCUGGAGGUAAGCGGAAUAUGUCAUGUAGCGGUGAAAUGCUUAGAUAUGACAUAGAACACCAAUUGCGAAGGCAGCUUACUACAUAUAAAUUGACGCUGAGGCACGAAAGCGUGGGGAUCAAACA
rnacentral:rRNA from 1 species